AUUGAACGCUGGCGGCAGGCCUAACACAUGCAAGUCGAGCGAGCGGCGGACGGGUGAGUAAUGUAUGGGGACUGCACGAUAGAGGGGGAUAACUACUGGAAACGGUGGCUAAUACCGCAUACUAUCGGAUAACCCAGAUGGGAGUAGCUAGUGGGUGGGGUAAAGGCUCACCUAGGCGACGAUCCCUAGCUGGUCUGAGAGGAUGAACAGCCACACGGGAACUGAGACACGGCCCAGAUCCCUACGGAGGCAGCAGUGGGGAAUAUUGCACAAUGGGCGCAAGCCUGAUGCAGCCAUGCCGCGUGUAUGAAGAAGGCCUUAGGGUUGUAAAGUACUUUCAGCUGGGAGGCGUUACCCACAGAAGAAGCACCGGCUAACUCCGUGCCAGCAGCCGCGGUAAUAC
rnacentral:rRNA from 1 species